ensembl:lncRNA
AGGAGAGAGGGAGAUAGAGAGGAGGAGGAAUCAGGAUAGAGGGAGAUAGAGAGGAGGAGGAAUCAUGAUAGAGAGAUGGAGAGGAGGACGAAUCAGGAGAGAGAUAGAGAGGAGGAGGAAUCAGGAGAGAGAUAGAGAGGAGGAGGAAUCAGGAGAGAGAGAUAGAGAGGAGGAGGAAUCAGGAGAGAGAGAUAGAGAGGAGGAGGAAUCAGGAGAGAGAGAUAGAGAGGAGGAGGAAUCAGGAGAGAGAGAUAGAGGAGUAGGAAUCAGGAGAGAGAUAGAGAGGAGGAGGAAUCAGGAGAGAGAGAUAGAGGAGUAGGAAUCAGGAGAGAGAUAGAGAGGAGGAGGAAUCAGGAGAGAGAGAUAGAGAAGAGGAGGAAUCAGGAGAGAGAGAGAUAGAGAGGAGGAGGAAUCAGGACAGAGAGAUAGAGAUGAGGAGGAAUCAGGAGAGA